GACGGAGGGGGCUAGCGUUGUUCGGAAUUACUGGGCGUAAAGCGCACGUAGGCGGCCUUUCAAGUCAGAUGUGAAAGCCCCGAGCUUAACUCGGGAACUGCAUUUGAUACUGUUGGGCUUGAGACCGGGAGAGGAUAGCGGAAUUCCCAGUGUAGAGGUGAAAUUCGUAGAUAUUGGGAAGAACACCAGUGGCGAAGGCGGCUAUCUGGACCGGUACUGACGCUGAGGUGCGAAAGCGUGGGGAGCAAACAGG
rnacentral:rRNA from 1 species